rnacentral:rRNA from 1 species
UGUAGAUGCCUCACGAUCAGAUUGACCCGCGAACUCGUUUUUCCAUCUACCGGCAGGCAGGCAAGGGUCGGGCUUCUUCCGUCCUCCCCUUGCUCUGCCUGCUGCGUUGGGUCGGGGGGGGGCCCCCCCCUUCCUUCCCAACAAACCCAAACCCCGGUCCUUCGGGGGCCAAGGAAUUCCAAUCUGUCAGGGGCAAUUCCCAACGGCCCGGAAACGGGGCCCCGGGGGGGUUGUCACAACACCCAUUAUUAUUUAAAAUGACUCUCGGCAACGAAAAUCUCGGCUCUUGCAUCAAUGAAAAACGUACCCAAAUGCCAAACUUGGGGGGAAUUGAAAAAUCCCGUGAACAAUCAAGUCUUUGAAGGCAAUUUGCCCCCGAACCCAUUAGGGGGAGGGCACCCCUGCCUGGGGGUCAAACAUCGUUACCCCAAAGGCAAACAAAUGUCUCACCGGACGACCGUUGCGCAUGGGGUUGCACCCUGACCUCCCGCGAGCACCGGGUCGUGGUUGGUUAAAAAUCAAGUUCUGGGCCAAUUACCCCGGGAUAAAAGGGUGAAUGAUUAACAACGCUCAAAACCAAUCUCUUCCACAGACUCGCUCGGUAACGGACUCUAUGUCAACCCUACGGUGCCUCCUCUUCGAAGAAUCCCUCAACGAGA